CCCCGAGCCCAGCCCUGCAAGCGGCCCGGCCGCGCCUCGGGCGAUCUGGAGCCUUUAUUAUGAUGUUUAAGUAAGCAGUCGUGUGUGCCAACUGCAAUGCCGGGAUUUUAAAUAGCAGAAAUGAAAGGCCCCUGCCCCCGCCUCCCUCCUCCCCUGAGUUCAUGUAUUAUGAAUGAAACGCCAGCCUCGCUGCUUCCCUGAGGUUGCUCCACUUCAGGUUCCAGGUAGAGUGUAAUGGAAAGAGCCUGGACCCUGGUACUAUUCCCAGUUCCUCUAUGAACUUGCUAUGUGACUAUAGUCUCUCAGUAGAUCCUUCACCUCAUCAAUGAAGUGGAGUCAGUACCACCCACUUUGGAAGAAUUGUUUUGAAGAUUAAAAGAGUUACUGAUCAUUAUCCAUUCAAUUGUAGGGAUAUACUGAAUGCUUACAAGCCAGGCACUGUGUGUUUGAAACAUAGCUCAUUAGGCAACUUUUGAAUGAAUGAAUGAACAAGUGAGUAAGUACAUCUUACCAGGUCUACAGGUUGGGCUACAACUUGGAAUGAGCUAGGCUAGCUCUUGGCUUUGGGCUCCAAGCUCCAGGUUGGAUUUAGCUAUGUUUCUUAUGUCCCUCACCCUCCUUGGACCAGUGACAUGUAAUCUCUUCCCUGUAUCUCAUUCUGGGGCCCAAGGUGAAGGGUGCAGGUGUGUGGGUGUGGACAUGGUCUCUCUAAGCUGAGCUGACUUUUAGGUUUCCCUCAUCACACUGCUGCAGCACGAAUAGUCAUUCUCCUAACAAUUUUAGUGAGCGAUUUUUGAACUUGCUAGACACAGACAUAUGCAUACACUUCACAUUCCCUUCCCAAAGACAAACACGAUUUGUUAGAGGCAUUAUAAGCUACUGGAUAAGAAGGGAGUGAUGCACCUCUUAAUGGAUAUUCUCUUACUUCCUGAACUUUCUGGAAGGGACUUGACUAAAUUCUUGGCCAAGAGCUCUUGUUCUCAGUUUUCAUGACGAUAAGAGCAGGGAGUGGUUUAUUCUCUAAGUUAAACCUGUGUGAAAAAUCAUGGUAGGAUGAAGAAAAUAUAGUGUGACUACAACAUACCUUUACAGUUCUUCUUCAGCCCUUCAUCCGCAUCCUGGCUUCCUCGUGCCACCAAACACCGCUGUGUCUUAGUGCAGAUGACUUUGCAGCUGAGACCAUCAGACAGGAAACACUGCAGCCUAUCUGUGCAUGCCCCAUCUGCCGUCUUGUCCAUAUCCCCAACUACCUUUGCUUUCUUCCAUUUUUCUGUCCUAGGCUAACCCUAACAUUUCUGCUGAAAUACCAUUCCAGAUUUUCAAUAUAGCAAAUAACUCCCAUUCUCUCUUCUAUCUUCACUCUCUUUCUCACCAAUUACUUAUUUCUUUGGCCAUUUAAGCCUCUUCCCUCUGAAAAGAAAAACAAAACAAAACUAACCUUAAAAAAAACUAGCCAGGCAUGGUAGCUCCUGCCUGUA